AUGGGGCGCAGCAGGCGCGAAACCUUUACACUGCACGAACGUGCGAUAAGGGGACUCCAAGUGCGAGGGCAUACAGUCCUCGCUUUUCUGUACCGUAAGGUGGUACAGGAAUAAGAGCUGGGCAAGACCGGUGCCAGCCGCCGCGGUAAUACCGGCAGCUCGAGUGAUGACCGCUGUUAUUGGGCCUAAAGCGUCCGUAGCCUGCCAGCCAAGUUCGUCGGGAAAUCCACUCGCUCAACGAGUGGGCGUCCGGCGAAACCUAUCUGGCUUGGGACCGGAAGACCCGAAGGGUACGUCCGGGGUAGGAGUGAAAUCCCGUAAUCCUGGACGGACCACCGAUAGCGAAAGCACUUCGGGAAGACGGAUCCGACGGUGAGGGACGAAAGCUAGGGUCUCGAACCGGAUUAGAUACCCGGGUAGUCCUAGCCGUAAACGAUGCUCGCUAUGUGUGGCUCCCGCUACGAGCGGGUGCUGUGCCGUAGGGAAGCCGCUAAGCGAGCCGCCUGGGAAGUACGUCUGCAAGGAUGAAACUUAAAGGAAUUGGCGGGGGAGCACA
rnacentral:rRNA from 1 species